rnacentral:rRNA from 1 species
GAGUUUGAUCCUGGCUCAGAGUGAACGCUGGCGGUAGGCCUAACACAUGCAAGUCGAACGGCGGCACAGUAAGAGCUUGCUCUUACGGGUGGCGAGUGGCGGACGGGUGAGGAAUACAUCGGAAUCUACUUUUUCGUGGGGGAUAACGUAGGGAAACUUACGCUAAUACCGCAUACGACCUACGGGUGAAAGCAGGGGAUCUUCGGACCUUGCGCGAUUGAAUGAGCCGAUGUCGGAUUAGCUAGUUGGCGGGGUAAAGGCCACCAAGGCGACGAUCCGUAGCUGGUCUGAGAGGAUGAUCAGCCACACUGGAACUGAGACACGGUCCGGACUCCUACGGGAGGCAGCAGUGGGGAAUAUUGGACAAUGGGCGCAAGCCUGAUCCAGCCAUACCGCGUGGU